rnacentral:rRNA from 1 species
CCUACGGGCUGCAGCAGUGGGGAAUAUUGCACAAUGGGGGAAACCCUGAUGCAGCGACGCCGCGUGAGUGAAGAAGUUAUUCGUUACGUAAAGCUCUAUCAGCAGGGAAGAAACACUGACCUUACGGUCAGCAGACGGUACCUGAGUAAGAAGCCCCGGCUAACUACGUGCCAGCAGCCGCGGUAAUACGUAGGGGGCAAGCGUUAUCCGGAUUUACUGGGUGUAAAGGGAGCGUAGACGGUUCGCCAAGUCUGGAGGGAAAUGCCGCAGCUUAACUGCGGAACUGCUUUGGAAACUGGCGAACUAGAGGGCGGGAGGGGUAAGCGGAAUUCCUAGGGUAGCGGUGAAAUGCGUAGAUAGUAGGAGGAACACCGGUGGCGAAGGCGGCUUACUGGACCGUAACUGACGUUGAGGCUCGAAAGCGUGGGGAGCAAACAGGAUUAGAUACCCGGGUAGUC